rnacentral:rRNA from 2 species
GUAACCAGUAGAGUCGUGUAGCAGUUUGAUCCUGGCUCAGGAUGAACGCUGGCGGCGUGCCUAAUACAUGCAAGUCGAACGAGUUUUGGUCGAUGAACGGUGCUUGCACUGAGAUUCGACUUAAAACGAGUGGCGGACGGGUGAGUAACACGUGGGUAACCUGCCCUUAAGUGGGGGAUAACAUUUGGAAACAGAUGCUAAUACCGCAUAAAUCCAAGAACCGCAUGGUUCUUGGCUGAAAGAUGGCGCAAGCUAUCGCUUUUGGAUGGACCCGCGGCGUAUUAGCUAGUUGGUGAGGUAACGGCUCACCAAGGCGAUGAUACGUAGCCGAACUGAGAGGUUGAUCGGCCACAUUGGGACUGAGACACGGCCCAAACUCCUACGGGAGGCAGCAGUAGGGAAUCUUCCACAAUGGACGCAAGUCUGAUGGAGCAACGCCGCGUGAGUGAAGAAGGCUUUCGGGUCGUAAAACUCUGUUGUUGGAGAAGAAUGGUCGGCAGAGUAACUGUUGUCGGCGUGACGGUAUCCAACCAGAAAGCCACGGCUAACUACGUGCCAGCAGCCGCGGUAAUACGUAGGUGGCAAGCGUUAUCCGGAUUUAUUGGGCGUAAAGCGAGCGCAGGCGGUUUUUUAAGUCUGAUGUGAAAGCCCUCGGCUUAACCGAGGAAGCGCAUCGGAAACUGGGAAACUUGAGUGCAGAAGAGGACAGUGGAACUCCAUGUGUAGCGGUGAAAUGCGUAGAUAUAUGGAAGAACACCAGUGGCGAAGGCGGCUGUCUGGUCUGUAACUGACGCUGAGGCUCGAAAGCAUGGGUAGCGAACAGGAUUAGAUACCCUGGUAGUCCAUGCCGUAAACGAUGAAUGCUAGGUGUUGGAGGGUUUCCGCCCUUCAGUGCCGCAGCUAACGCGAU